rnacentral:rRNA from 1 species
UACGAGGGGGGCAAGCGUUGUUCGGAAUUAUUGGGCGUAAAGGGCGCGUAGGCGGUGCGGUAAGAGUGUUGUGAAAUCUUCGGGCUCAACUCGAAGUCUGCAACGCUGACUGCCGUGCUUGAGUGUGGGAGAGGUGAGUGGAAUUCCUGGUGUAGCGGUGAAAUGCGUAGAGAUCCGGAGGAAUACCAGAGGCGAAGGCGGCACCCUGGGUCUGACCUGACGCUGAUCCGCGGCAGCAUGGGGAGCGAACGGG